rnacentral:lncRNA from 1 species
GCUUCCAGAUUCGGUGUAUAGUUUUCGAUAACCCACCAAUUCCUGCAGCAACUGUCGCCGUACUCCGAUUGGCUCCAGCAGCUGCCACCUGCCAAUCUCGCGCGCGCGUCACACACCCCGUUUAUACACAAAACCCGCCACCAUACGCAUAUUGGCUUUCUAGGCAGUAGCCCUAAUCAUUGUCGGUUGGCUGGAUCCUGUUAGAUCUUGUUCCGGCGGACCUACCUACCUACCUACCUACGAACCUACCUGGCAACCUACAGCAGCUUUCAGCUUCAGCUUUGAAAUGCAUGCCGCCUUGACGUGCAUGCCCAUUAAACCAAAGCUGUCCGUGUUUUCCAAAGCUCCAACGUCUCCCAAGUGAACACACAGUUGAUUACAGCACACCGACCGACCAGCACAUCCCCUCCCGCCAGCAAGGGCAGCACCCUUUAAGCAGCAUCCCUCCCAUCGACGCGGAUCUAAUCUCGCCGGCACUGAAUUUCAUCCCCAUCCCCAACGCCAUCGCCAUCGGCCUGCCUUCACCGAGAAGCCGAAUGGCCGCCUGUUUCUCAUGCCUUGAACACAUUAAAAGAGCCAAAGUCAAUCGGUGGGCUCGAACUUGGCUUUCCCCCUUUCGAACACACCCCCGCGCCGUGAACCUAAUCCACUUCCGAACUCACCCGGCCCCUCGUCCUCUCGCCUCCUGUUCCGUCCCCAGUGCCGCCCGCCCCGGCCCCCUGCACCGCGCACCUCUAACCCCUGCCCUACAUCGAAAGACAUCCCCCCAACAGGGCGCCCCCCACCGAUAAAUAACCCCCCAUUUCCCUUCCC